GUUAGUGUUACUGCUAAAAACAACUUAAAGCCUGACUCUAAAGAAUAAUAUUGUUUCUGAUGAGUUUCCUCCUGUGACACUGAAGUGAGGAUCAUAUUGUUAAUCAUGCUGGAUGUUGUUCUGUUUUUGUUGGAGCUUUGAUCAACAGGUCGUGGCCCCCUGAGGGCGGAGCUUCCCACAUUGUGCCUGAUCUGCCAACAUGGGUUCUCUUGUUGACUGGUCAAUAAUGUGAAUGGGGAGGAGUUGGGAAUAGUCAUCUGUUUAAUAUGUCUUUGGGAGCCUCUCAGGAUAUAAAUGUAACCAGCAUGCAGCAUUCCCUGCAGUCACACACAGACGAACGUGAAGUGUCUUGUCCAAGAACACGACCAUCUGCACCUGCUGGACCCAGGAUCCAAACCUUCAACCUUUCAAUAAGACGACCUGCUCUACCAUUGUUGCCCAAUACAAAGAUGUCCUCGCGGGUGCGUCUGAGCCUCCUGCCCAGCGUUCGCUGCUUGUUCGAUGACCUGCUGAAGAUCCGAGUGACGGGUCUGAGCUCGCAGCAGAACGUGGUGCUGAGGGCCAGCGCCACAGAAGAGAAGGGCUCCAACUUCACCUCCUGGGCAGAGUUCAGGGCGGACCACAGCGGACAGGUGAACACUUUACACCACGUUUCAGCGUCCUCCUUGCUUUAAAGGAAUGGUAAUAGUUAAAAGAUCCAAAUUUGUGAACCUAUUCCCAAACAAUAGCAAUAAUAAGGGAAGGGAAUCUUAUUUGUAUAGCGCUUUUUAUAUGACACCCAAAGUCACACCCAAAGCACUUCACACAUGAAAGGGAGGGGGGUCAUUCACUCCAUGCUGAUAAGCUACAUUUUGUAGCCACAGUUUCCCCUGGGGUAGACUGAUAGAAGCGAGGCUGCACACAUCUGUGCCAACGGUCCCUCCAACCACCACCAACCACUCACACAUAGGCAUUGGGUGAAGUGUCUUGCCCAAGGACACAACGACAGUCUGCAUAAUAAAAACUAUUCUGAUUCUGAUCCAAUCAAUCAAUAAAUUUGAUUGAUUAAUAAAUGUUUCGGUAUGAAAGGUAUUACAAAGUGCUUUACAGACAGAUUACAACUUUUAAAAUAAUAUGCCCCACAUCAUUUUUAUUUAUA
rnacentral:lncRNA from 1 species